UGUAAUGUGAUUUGCAGAACUCGUGAGUCAUCGAAUUUUUGAACGCAAGUUGCGCUCGCGGGAAAUCCUGCGAGCACGUCUGUUUGAGUGUC
rnacentral:rRNA from 2 species